GGAGGCGUAGCUCAGAUGGUAGAGCGCUCCCGUAGUGUGCGAGAGGUACGGGGAUUGAUACUUCGCGCCUCUA